UACAGAGGUCUCAAGCGUUGUUCGGAUUCAUUGGGCGUAAAGGGUGCGUAGGCGGCGCGGUAAGUCGGGUGUGAAAUCCCCGAGCUUAACUUGGGAAUUGCGCUCGAAACUACGUGGCUCGAGUGUGGCAGAGGAAGGUGGAAUUCCAGGUGUAGCGGUGAAAUGCGUAGAGAUCUGGAGGAACACCGAUGGCGAAGGCAGCCUUCUGGGCCAACACUGACGCUCAUGCACGAAAGCGUGGGGAGCAAACAGG
rnacentral:rRNA from 1 species